GACUUGACUUCAAAUUUGAUACAUAUGCGGAGCAGGGGUUAUGCGAUGAGGAGAGGUAUUAUAUCUAUGGUUCUAAUGUCUCUUUCUGAAGUGCUUAAUGGCAUUUGUACAAUGUUUCAUCGGAUUACUGGAUGCUCGGAACAGAUAGAUGGUUAUAGUACUUGGGACUCCAUUUAUGUAACUGAUGUAUCUUUCUGAAGUGCUUAGUGUUUUUUUCACAAUAUUUCGUUGGAUUUUCUGGAUACUUGGAACGGUUAGAUAGUUGUGAUAUUUGGGUUGGGUAUUGCAUUGUAUAGUUGUGUUAAGAGUUUGAGCAUUUCACCCCAUUGCACUUCAAGAUGGACCCAUCGCCAAAAGUAUCUGAUAAUGCUAAGGACCUGGGGAAAAAAAAGCUUGAAGAGCUUCAGCGGUGGCUAUCAGCUCAGGAAGUCCUUGACCAUCCCUGGCUACAAAAUGCUAACAAGGCUCCAAAUGACUCACUGGGUGAGACUGUGAUAGCAAGGCUAAAACAAAUUCUAUGAUGAACAAGCUAAAGAAAAGAGCUUUAAGGAUUAUGCUACCCUUAUGGCGAUAAUAUACAGUAUGAUGAAGCAGGACCAUGUGAUGCAGGUAGUGAGACCAGACCACCCUUUCAUUCAUAUUUCCUGGAUUCAUCCUUUGCAUUGUUGCCACUUUCUGUCUUUUGUUUUUCGGUAAGUCGCCACAUUUUGUCUUGCUAAUUGAUGAUUGCUUUUUUUAAAAAAAAAUUCUGUUGCAGGAAAGAAUUUUUACAUCUUUAAGUCUGAAGACAUCAUCAGGAGAAUUAGAGAGUUACAGCCUAAUGUGGUCUCUGCGGCCUUUCAUUGAUGAUGAGAGUAUGCAUCGGCCUUUGAGGCUCAUCCCUUGGGCUUCAAAUCUUUGUUUAGUUUAAUAUUUAUAUACUCAAAUCAUUAACGCUGUCCACUUUGUUGGUGGAUUUCAUGUACAUCACAUGGGACAUUUUUAUCAUAUGUUCAACUUCUGUC